rnacentral:rRNA from 1 species
CCUAACACAUGCAAGUCGAACGGUAACAGGAAGAAGCUUGCUUCUUUGCUGACGAGUGGCGGACGGGUGAGUAAUGUCUGGGAAACUGCCUGAUGGAGGGGGAUAACUACUGGAAACGGUAGCUAAUACCGCAUAACGUCGCAAGACCAAAGAGGGGGACCUUCGGGCCUCUUGCCAUCGGAUGUGCCCAGAUGGGAUUAGCUAGUAGGUGGGGUAACGGCUCACCUAGGCGACGAUCCCUAGCUGGUCUGAGAGGAUGACCAGCCACACUGGAACUGAGACACGGUCCAGACUCCUACGGGUGGCAGCAGUGGGGAAUAUUGCACAAUGGGCGCAAGCCUGAUGCAGCCAUGCCGCGUGUAUGAAGAAGGCCUUCGGGUUGUAAAGUACUUUCAGCGGGGAGGAAGGGAGUAAAGUUAAUACCUUUGCUCAUUGA